AGCCCUCCAAGAUUACACCUGAAGAGUAUUCAGUACUCUAUCUGUCUUGGCUAUGGAUGGGAGAGUCAGGCGGAGGCACACCCAUUCCAUUCCUAGCUUGGGCAGUGGCUAGUGAGUGGAAGGCGAUCUGCUGCAAGU